rnacentral:rRNA from 1 species
UACGAAGGGGGCUAGCGUUGCUCGGAAUCACUGGGCGUAAAGCGCACGUAGGCGGAUUGUUAAGUCAGGGGUGAAAUCCUGGAGCUCAACUCCAGAACUGCCUUUGAUACUGACGGUCUUGAGUUCGGGAGAGGUGAGUGGAACUGCGAGUGUAGAGGUGAAAUUCGUAGAUAUUCGCAAGAACACCAGUGGCGAAGGCGGCUCACUGGCCCGAUACUGACGCUGAGGUGCGAAAGCGUGGGGAGCAAACAGGG